UGUGUGUGUGUGUGUGUGUGUGUGUGUGUGUGUGUGUGUGCAUGUGCGCAUACAGACUUAUGUGUACAUACAUACAAGCAUGCAGGUACCCAAAGGCUGUUGUAUCCCCUGGAGCUGGAGUUACAAGCGAUUAUAAGCUGCCUGUCUGGGAUGCUGGGAACCAAAGUCUGGUCCUCUACAAGAGCAGUAAGUACCCUUUACCACUGAGCCAUCUCUCUAGUGCCUUUUGUUCCUUUUAAAGUUUGUCAGCCUAAAGGAUUAGAUUCCUGCUCUCUGCACUCCACACCUUUUUUUAUGGCACCGGAGAUCAAGCUUGGCCUUGGCCUUGACAAGCAAGUGCACUGUCACUGAGCUGCGCCCAAGCCCUCCCUUCUCUCCUGCUCUUUUGUUUCACUAAGGUCUCUCUUCCUCCUUUUCACAAACCCUUUUCUGUUUUCCUCCUCCAUUGAUUGUACAGCCUCUUUCUUUUUCUUCUAACUGUAAUGCUCCAUGUCUUUUUAUCAACAGAAACCAUUUGGACAGAGCGUCUGAACUAUCUCUCUGUACAGUGCACAGUGCUCCAGCCUGUGAGGUCUGUGAAGCUUCUGGCAGAACAGCCUUGUCUUAGUGGCAGCAGCAGGCUCCUGUGGUUUCCUGAUAUACCCUGGAUGUGAGUGGAGCCUGGUGGAGCUUACCUAGUAACUGUCCAUCCUGGAUUCCUUCACCAGAAGAUAUAGGGGUUUGAGGAAACCUGAGUGUUAUGGCUUGGAUCUUGAAUGUGGCCCCCAGGAUCAUGUUGUGAAAGCCAGGUCCCCAGCCUGUAGCAUUCCUUCAAAGACUAUGCAGGGAGCAGAAUGGGGAUUAGUAUUCCUGGAAGCACCACCAAGUGGCUUCUACCCCAAGAAUGUUGGCCUUUGUGCAACCGUGGUGCUAUGGAUCAAACUCAGGACCUUGGACAUGGUAGGCAAGCACUCUACCAGGAUUCUUCUUGAAGGAAACUUUAAGAGCCAACGACAGUUCGGGCCAAGAUUACCCGUUGGUGAGGACAUUUUUCUCUGGUUAUUUCUCUAGUUGUGGUUUUCAUAAUGCUGACCCUCUAUCCCUUUUCUUAUUAGUCACCUAUUCACACCUUUCAGAGUUCCUUCUUCCAUGACCAGGGUCCAUCCAGUGCUGUUAUUUGCAAGUGCACAGUGUCCAUUGGUUCUGUAUUUGGUGUUUUAGCUGUAGUUUCGUUUCCCAGGGCAAGCUCACUCACCAUUGCCAUGUGGAAUCACUGCUCUGCUGUCUCCUGCCUCUUGUCACUUUGGGUUCUCGUUUUCAGUGAUGCUUAGGAGUUAUGUGUAUUAGACCUACCUGAAGAACUUGUUAAAACUAGCUGGCUCCAACCCAGAGCGGAGCCUAGGAAUCUGUAUUUCCAAGUGU